UUCCAAUACUUCCCUGAACUCCAAACACCUGACAUCUAAGUUGACUAACUCAUAUCUAGCUAAAUACAGACAGAAUGGGAACAAAUAUACUUAUCUUCCCCUGAACCCUCCUUCCCCAUUUUCGUUAUUGUAAGAUGUAUACAUCUCUGCUGAACUACAAUCAACUGUAACUAAGACUGAGGGAGGUCGUGCAUAAAGAAAGAUUUAUUCUUAUGACUAGAUCCUCUGGGGGCCUCUACAGUUCUAAAAAACCUAAUAAUUUUUUCCAGGUUGGGAGGCACAACCUAAAUUUCACCAGAGAAAGCUAAAGAGAACUGCAAGAUGCUCCAUUCCCACAAGGACUGAGCACAAGGCUUGCAGAGCACUCCUAUCUCAUUCUCCUGGGGAAAUCGAAACCAGAGCUCCUUGUAAAAUUUAAUAAAGUUUCAUCAGUCAACAGCAAUUUCCUUCACUUCCUGUCCUAGAUGGACAUACGAAUUAAAUGGAAGAUAGUAUAUUGGAGAACAGAGUUCCAAAAAUAUUAGAUUUCAUAUUCAGAGGGGAAUCACAAAAAACUCAUUCUACUAGGACUCAUACUGAUGGUACAAUCUAUUCAUUGUAAUACACUUGAGUCUCUAUGGGAAAGUAGUGAACAGUAUAACAAAAUAAAACAAGGAAAAAAUAAGUCUACUUAUAUUAGGCUGAAUGAAGUACACAGAAGGUCAUUAUCUAUAAAGCAGCAAAGACUCAAUCCUGAACGCUGUUGAACACUGCUGAAAGAAGCAUGGAGAAAGUGUUUGCCAGCAUUUGUACAGGGAGACAUUCGCACAGUGCCGAGAACUGAGUGCUCAUCAUAGAUGACCUUGGGAAGCCAGCCUCCCUUAUUGGCGGCAGAACAGCUGCACAGAAUUAGAAAGCAUCCAAGAAGAACUAAGGAGGACUUUCUGCUGACAAACAGGAAUUGAAGGCUGAGAAACGGCCGCUGAGAAACAGGAAUUGAAGGAGUGGUGGGAGAGCUAGAAGAAGGACCAAAAGGAGAACGCAGCAUGCCAGAAUGAAGCCACGGAGCAGCUCCUAACAGUUAUGGAGCGCCAAGUGGACACGCUUCAGGCAAUACUAGCUCUUCAAACUGAGCAGCUCUGUUCCCACCCUCCCCUUCAGCUGCUGUCGCAAAACUCUUUCCCACGCGCCCCACACACACCGCCAACGCACUGUUAUCAAACUGCUGGCUCCACUCUCUACUCGCAGCAUUCCACUCCUCCCUCCUCAGAGUUCAGCACUGGGGAUUCCCACUUCCCACUGCACUCAACACCCAUCCAUCUGCAGUUUGGCCCUGCUGAAGUACAGCACCCGCUACAUUAUACUCCAAAGGAGAAGGUUGGGUAUGAUCCCUAGACAUACACAAAUCUGUAGCUGAUCUCCUCUUGAGAACUUCCUUUCCCCCAUGUCCCCUCCCCCUCCCUGCUGAUGAAUUUUUUCGUUUGACUCUCUC